CGCGCCGAGCCCGCUAAACCAUAGAGAGAGGGGGGGAGGGAAGGGCUCGGGCUUUUAUCCACGUGACCUGAGUCUAGACCUAUUCGUCACAUAGCCUACCGCCGCCAUCUUGAACAAGGAGGAAAAAGGGCGGGCGGGAAAAGGUAGGGCAGGUCUGUAACCGUUCAUACCGAAGUAAGGUGCGGGUCGUGUCAGUCCCCCUGAGAAGGUAGGGAUUCGCCAUAAAUGCUUUGUCCCUGCUGAGAGAAAUGCCGGAGAACUGCACUAUUUCACCCGUCACUGGCGUUAGCUGGAAGAGAAACCGGCGGGAAGCUACUGCUCUAACUGAAGCGUAUUGGGAAAUGUAGUCCGCACGUGCUAAGUCAAUGCCAUUAUCAUCUCAAAAGUGCGGGUGUACGAAGCACAAUAAACUGUUAACUGUCCUGGAGCCUGUGAGAGAAAACAAGGGAAUAGAACAUAGGAUGCUUCAUGUAAGAGUAACUAAUAAACAGGACUUGUGACAAUAUUUACUGUCAGUUUGUGAAGACAAGUCUGUAAAAUGUGCCUUCUGGUAAUUUACUGUUUUGUUGAGUUUUUCUGUUGUAGAAACCUUAUAUAGUAAGGGAAUUACAGAAAAGGUAUGCAUCUUUCUGGAAAGACCUAAAUAUUAUUAAAAUCCAAGUUAUAUGCUAUAAUAAUGUUUGCAACAAUGAAGACAUCUUACAGGAAAUAUCCAUUCCGUGAUACUGCAUAACAGUAAAGGCAAACAACACUUGUACUUCAUGACAGUUUACUGUAUCUCUAAACUAUCUUCAAAAAUACACUUCUUGGUUUGUAUCACACACAUAUACUUGAACAGUAGGACAGUUAUUCUUCAGAUUGGAAAGACAUUACAAAACAAAGCACUUAAGAUUGUUGAAACAAUGACAAGAAAUACAAGUAAAAUAUUGCUGAUAUUUGAAAUAAUUUUGUCAUAAUUCAACAACAGUGACCAAUGUUAUCUGGGGCAAAAAAACAAACAAACCCAGUUACAUAUACAUUUCAGAGAGAAGGCUAAAAAAGCAGAACUUCCAAAAACAACAAUAAAACAAUUAUCAAUGAAGAGAGGUAUGGUAGUGUUUGAGUGCUACACUCAAUUCUCUGCCUUUUCAGAUCCAUUUAUUUCAACAUGGCACUUCACAAACUGUUCACCACUAUCUUUAUCCAUAGCAGAAAUUCUGUUAGAAUUUUUAUUCAUUGGCCACAGGUAAAAUACAUUCAAAUAUAGUGAAAGAAAGAAAGAAAGAAGGAAGGAAAAUUGCAUGAUCUGAUACAAAUAAGCUUAUCUGCCAGCAAAGGCAAAUAUUAAGUAAGAAUGCAAGCAUACAACUUAGUAUUCUUAAUAAAUACAUGUUCAAGCAUUUAACGUUAUCAAUGUUUUAAAAGAAUUUAAAUAAUAAAUGCAACUUUGUUCUUUUUUUUUUUUUACAGAACUGUAUGAUUUAUUAUACACACAAGUACAUCUUCCCUUUGUUUACAAAGGCUGGUUACAGAUAAUGUGGAAUGUUACAGUACCCUCUUGCAUAAAAUUUUUGUACAACAUUGUACUUGGAAAAAACUGGUGCAAAACACCUGCCUAAUAAAUCCAAAUGAAUUGAA